AUGGGAAAUGAGUGGCCGAAUGGUGCUGAAGAGAAAGGAAGGCUCGUGGGGGGACAAUUUGGUGUGUCAAGCUUGUGGCCUAGGCUUUCUAGUGCUUUGACUUGUGACUUGAGGAACUUUAGAUAGUUUGCAGCCUCAUCAAGCAUUGAUGCAGUGUCCAUCUUGCUCCCGCCAGGAACUAGCCUUUGCAAAACUCUUAUCCUCUCACUUAUUCUCUCCCUCCUUUGCCUUGCAGCCACAGUUUGUGGGUCAGUGGAUAUUCUCACAUUCUUCCUCUUGGGCUUCUCCACCACCUCCAUGCCUAAAUUCACAGGCCUGAAGGCUGCAGCUCUAUAUAUCAUCUCCUUCAUCUGAGCAAUGGCCUCCGAAUCGGGUUCCUCCGCAGAGGUUGUCGAUGAACUCGGCUGCUGGAAAUUGAUGUUGGAUGAAGAACUAGGCCUCUUUUCUGAUCUGGGUUUCUUUGCUUUUGGUGGAUUCUCAGAAAUAAGCCGGAAACCGCCUUCUGUAUUAGAAGAAUCCGAUUGAAGGAGAUUAAAAUAACGAUAAUCUCCAAUUGUUUUGGGCUUAUUUGGAUUGUUACCUCUCUUCAUCAAUGUAGGCUUAGUUUCUGAAGAGACUGCAUGGUUGAGAUGUGGAUUGGAAGAAGUUUGUGUGUGUGUUUCCUCAAGCUCCUUUAUUGGGCAAUGGACAUUGCCAUUUCUCAUUUUCGUGCCUUUAUUUUCGGACUCUCCAGAUGAUACAGUGCUGCCAGAACCAAAGCUCCAUAAGUUUCUGCAAUCAGAGAAGAUCAUGGAAAUCCCAUCGUCUUCCGCCGAUGUGUUUGUGUUGCUGUUAGUAGCCGAUAGCAAGCAGUCAAGGGACUCAAGAGAGCCAGCAGUUGAAACCGCAGCUUUUCCAUCUUGCAAGCCAUUAACAACUUUAGAUUGGUCUGGCAUGACAAAAUUUGUCAUUAAUCCACUCAGUGGAUUCAUGACAAAAGGCUUGUUCAUCAAUGAAGAACUCAAUUCAUGAGAACCUAAAGCCUCUCCCCAUUUGGUUCCCGGCCCUGAUUCUGCAACGACACUAUCUGCUCUAGACAACCUCACCCCUGCUUCUUGGUGCUGCCACAAAUUUGGGCUCGAAACAACGUUAAUCGAGUCUAAAGCCGGAGCUAACUGCCCAGCCAUUUCACCCACUCUGUCGGAACAUAUUUGGGUUUUGUGAAGCUCUUGAGUUGGAUCAGACAUUUCUGUGAAGCCCAUCUUGCCGCCAUAGGUACCACCGCUCGAGUUGGAAAGGAUGAAGCCUUCUUCAAUUCCAUGCUGCUGAUUGUACCACGACGACGGCGGGUUUGUCAUGACCGAUGGGGAAAGCUGUGACCUCCUUUUGGGCUGCUCAUGCUAUUCCACGCGCUCUGUAAAGUUUCAGACUUUCAGUAGACCGCAGUGAGAGUGAGCAUCUUUCACCAGUGUACCAUUCUUUUACCAAAAGAUUUCCAUUAAUCAUAGUCUUAAUCAUAACCAUUAUUGCUUCACUUUCUACUAUCGACUUUCUACUUGCUACUUUCUACUCUAGCUCUUUCAUCUAGUUGCUUUUAUAUAUAUAUAUAUAUAUAUAUAUGAAGCCACAGUGCCUUCAAGUGAUCCAACUUUGCCGAUCACACCCUCAUUUGUUUUUUUCCCCCAUUGUCCAUAUAUAUGGAACCUGCAAGGAUUGGAUUAUCU